UAAUUAUGGUGAGGAAAAUUUAUGAGCAUACACUAAAAUCUCUCCUAAAAUUGUUAGAGAUUCUCUCCUUCUUUUUGUCUGAAACUCAAGAUCUCACCUUUCAAAUA
rfam:Capsicum annuum cultivar Zunla-1 chromosome 9, whole genome shotgun sequence